CUUCAUUGUGCACAGUGUUGUGUGGGUUUGUCUGUCUUUGCAACUGUGUGGCAUCUGUGGGCAGGGCUCGGAAUUGGUCAUUGUCACAGAGACUGUCAAUUUUUCCCACAUCGGUUUUCUCCUUCACAGAGCCUCUGAGUUUUAGCUGGGCAUGUGGCUGCCUGAAUAAGAACAACGUUUUCCUGCUUUCUUGAGGGGCGACUAGGAUCUGGCUGGAGAGAUACCAGUGCCGUGACCGGUGCAGCUCUCUCUUCCUCCCAUUCCUUCCUCCCACUGGCUGGAGUGCAAGAUGGACUGGGAAGACGUCUUUGCCAUGAGGAUGAAGAAGCCAAGUCUCCGGGAGGCUCAGUAGCUCACUGUGGUAAUCUGGCUCACAACAGAGAAAUCUCAGAGUCAGGAUUUACACCCAGGGAAGCUCGUCCAGAUGCCUGCUCUUCCAGCUACUUCAGGGUCUAGCAGACCUUUUAUCACCUGGACAGGAUCCACGCAGGCAGCCUCCAAACCACAUCAAGGGAUUUUAAUUUCCUCACGGCUUUGUUAGCAUUUCACAUUGUUACAGGUCAAAACACAAGGUUAUUUACUAGGAAUGAGAAAUGUCACUAAUAUGAAUUAUGGGAGCCCCAUGAUUUCCCCCAGGUAUUCAGAACAACACGCAGUGCCUAUCAUCCUAGUGAGCUUAGCAUGGGCACUGACCUCCCCGGGAUCUUGAGCACCAUGUGCUUGACUAAGGUCCGAUGAGAGGACAGCCAUCCUAGGCUGGGAAAUGCCAAUGCCUAUUGGAUUUGUUCAAGGAACCUCUUCCUGCAGGCUGCCAUUUUGAUCAAGAAAAUUCUGGAAGGUUCAAAUUCUAUUUCCUAGCCAAUAAGGGAGGGGAAUGAAGAUAUUUGUUCACUCAUUCAAAAAUCACCCAUUUGUCUUCUUACUCCUUUGAUGGUGAGCUCCUGCUGUGCAAAUACUAAUGGGAGAGAAUGUAUAUAGUGGUUUAUGUUUUAUCUUACCAUCUGCUUCCUGUUUCUAUCACCAUAAACUUAGCAAAGAGCUGGGGUAAAGAAGGCCAUGAUAAGGGAGGGAACCACAAGUUCUAAAGAAAAAAAAAAGAUGCUUUCAGUAACUGUCAGAAAAAGAACAAUUUGGGUUUUUUUUUUAUUUUUUUAAAUGUUUAUUUAUUUUU